rnacentral:misc_RNA from 1 species
GAUGAAGAACGCAGCGAAAUGCGAUAAGCAGUGUGAAUUGCAGAAUUCAGUGAAUCAUCGAAUCUUUGAACGCACAUUGCGCCCCUUGGUAUUCCAUGGGGCAUGCCUGUUCGAGCGUCAUUUGUACCUUCAAGCUUUGCUUGGUGUUGGGUGUUUGUCCUGAGGGACUCGCCUUAAAGUAAUUGGCAGCCAGUGUUUGGUUUUGAAGCGCAGCACAAGUCGCGAUUCAAAGCUAUACGCCCGCUUCCACAAGCCUUUUUCACUUUUGACCUCGGAUCAGGUAGGGAUACCCGCUGAACUUAAGCAUAUCAAUAAGCGGAGGA